GAUGAACGCUGGCGGCGUGCCUAAUACAUGCAAGUCGAGCGAACAGACGAGGAGCUUGCUCCUCUGACGUUAGCGGCGGACGGGUGAGUAACACGUGGAUAACCUACCUAUAAGACUGGGAUAACUUCGGGAAACCGGAGCUAAUACCGGAUAAUAUAUUGAACCGCAUGGUUCAAUAGUGAAAGACGGUUUUGCUGUCACGUAUAGAUGGAUCCGCGCCGCAUUAGCUAGUUGGUAAGGUAACGGCUUACCAAGGCAACGAUGCGUAGCCGACCUGAGAGGGUGAUAGGCCACACUGGAACUGAGACACGGUCCAGACUCCUACGGGAGGCAGCAGUAGGGAAUGUUCCGCAAUGGGCGAAAGCCUGGCGGAGCAACGCCGCGUGAGUGAUGAAGGUCCUCGGAUCGUAAAACUCUGUUAUUAGGGAAGAACAAAUGUGUAAGUAACUAUGCACGUCUUGACGGUACCUAAUCAGAAAGCCACGGCUAACUACGUG
rnacentral:rRNA from 1 species